rnacentral:rRNA from 1 species
CGGCCUAUCAGCUUGUUGGUGGGGUAACGGCCCACCAAGGCUACGACGGGUAGGGGGUCUGAGAGGAUGAUCCCCCCGAGUGGGACUGAGACACGGCCCACACACCUACGGGUGGCAGCAGUUGGGAAUCUUGCGCAAUGGGGGCAACCCUGAUGCAGCGACGCCGCGUGGAGGACGAAGGAUUUAGGUCUGUAAACUCCUUUUGCCAGGAAAGACUUAGCGAUUUUGAUCGCUCUGACGGUACCUGGCGAAUAAGCUCCGGCUAACUACGUGCCAGCAGCCGCGGUAAUACGUAGGGAGCGAGCGUUGUCCGGAUUUACUGGGCGUAAGGGCGCGUAGGCGGUCCAUUAAGCAUGAAGUGAAAUCUCCAGGGCUCAACCCGGAAACUGCUUUGUGAACUGGCGGACUGAAGGAAGGCAGAGGUGAGUGGAAUUCCCGGUGUAGCGGUGACAUGCAUUGAUAUCGGGAGGAACACCCAUGGCGAAGGCAGCUCACUGGGCCUUUCCUGACGCUGAGGCGCGAAAGCGUGGGUAGCAAACAGAAUUAGAUACUCUGGUAGUCCACGCCCUAAACGAUGGAUGCUAGGCGUGAGGGGUAUCGACCCCCCUCGUGCCGGAGCUAACGCAUUAAGCAUCCCGCCUGGGGAGUACGGCCGCAAGGUUGAAACUCAAAUGAAUUGACGGGGACCCGCACAAGCGGUGGAGCAUGUGGAUUAAUUCGAUACUAACCGAAGAACCUUACCCAGGUUUGACAUCGAGUGCAAAGCGGUGAAAGCCGCUCCUACCCACAAGGUACACGAAGACACCUGUUGCAUGGCUGUCGUCAGCUCGUGCCGUGAGGUGUUUGGUUAAGUCCAGCAACGAGCGCAACCCUCGUCCUGUGUUGCCAGCGGGUAAAGCCGGGAACUCGCAGGAGACCGCCGGUGCAAGCCGGAGGAAGGUGGGGGAUGACGUCAAGUCA